rnacentral:tRNA from 2 species
UAGAAUACCGGCCUGUCACGCCGGGGGUCGCGGGUUCGAGUCCCGUCCACUCCG